rnacentral:rRNA from 1 species
AUACGAGGGUCCCAAGCGUUAUUCGGAAUCACUGGGCGUAAAGAGUACGUAGGCGGUUUGGUAAGUCAGGUGUGAAAUCCCGGAGCUCAACUCCGGAACUGCAUCCGAUACUGCCAGACUUGAGUAAUGGAGAGGCAGGUGGAAUUCUCGGUGUAGCAGUGAAAUGCGUGGAUAUCGAGAGGAAGACCAAUGGCGAAGGCAGCCUGCUGGACAUUUACUGACGCUGAGGUACGAAGGCUAGGGGAGCGAAAGGGAUUAGAAACCCCUGUAGUCC